CAUUAAGAAGCUAUGCAUCAGCGCUAGCCUUUUAAGCUAGAAACAGAGGGACUCCCACCCUCCUUAAUGU
rnacentral:tRNA from 1 species